rnacentral:tmRNA from 1 species
GGGGCUGACUUGGAUUUCGACAGAUUUCUUGUCGCACAGAUAGCAUGCCAAGCGCUGCUUGUAAAACAGCAACAAAAAUAACUGUAAACAACGCAGAUUACGCUCCAGCUUACGCUAAAGCUGCGUGAGUUAAUCUCCUUUUGGAGCUGGACUGAUUAGAAUUUCUAGCGUUUUAAUCACUCCAUAACCUUAAGCUAGACGCUUUUAAAAGGUGGUUCGCCUUUUAAACUAAGAAACAAGAACUCUUGAAACUACCUCAAGGUUUUAGAAAGUUGGACCAGAGCUAGUUUUAAGGCUAAAAACUAACCAAUUUUCUAAGCAUUGUAGAAAUUUGUGUUUAGGACAAGAUUUUUGGACUGGGGUUCGAUUCCCCACAGCUCCACCA